CCUACGGGUGGCAGCAGUGGGGAAUAUUGCACAAUGGGCGAAAGCCUGAUGCAGCGACGCCGCGUGAGGGAUGAAGGCCUUCGGGUUGUAAACCUCUUUCAGCAGGGAAGAAGCGAAAGUGACGGUACCUGCAGAAGAAGCACCGGCUAACUACGUGCCAGCAGCCGCGGUAAUACGUAGGGUGCAAGCGUUGUCCGGAAUUAUUGGGCGUAAAGAGCUCGUAGGCGGUCUGUCGCGUCUGCUGUGAAAACUCGGGGCUCAACCCCGGGCCUGCA
rnacentral:rRNA from 1 species